AUCUGAUUUCUUUUAUAGCCUGAUGGAGUUGUUUCUUUACUUCAUUUGCUAUAAUUUGAGAAAUUUCAAGUGUGUGACUUCCAAGUUCUAUAUCAGUGUCUCCUGGAGUUGUUCUGAGGGAGCUGAAGGUCUGAGACUGCAUUUUGCAUUUCGUUUUGACAUUUCUAUUGGGUUAAUAAUAUCCCUUUGUUAUUGCAGGCUGAUCAGGUCUGAAAUCUCCCAAACAAGUAUACAGUGAAGGCUAAAUAAAAAGAGGCAAAUGGAAUGAUUUCAGGGCUCUUGGAGAAUCAAGGCCCUCACAGAAUUGAAGAUUCUCUCAGGGCUAAGACCAAGACCAUCUCUGGAUGGCUGAUAUUUAUUUGGUUAUCAGAAGAAGGGAGGAAGUACUCAAGCAGGGCAGGAUCACUCAAGGACUUCUCCAAAUAAGGGCCUGCCACAGGACAGAAGAGCCACGUCCUGGCUGGUACUUGGGCGGCAUUUCCAGGGCUGAGUGCAGGGACACAGAGGGAGCUGCAGACUUGAGGAGGAAGGUCUUUUCUGUCCACCUGCCCCACCAACAUGGAGGCCGUUUUAGACAAACCCCUCCAACCCUGGAGCUCUAAUGCAUAAGGAGCCGGGAAGGAAAUACAGACUCCAAGAGGAAGGCCCACAGCACGAAGCUGCUUGUUGCUGACCGGCGGGGCACAAGCUUGUGUACCCUCCUUUGCGUCCGUGUCAAGAGCACCAGGGUGAUCCAGGAAGCACAGGCGAAGGGCGCUGGGGUAAGGAUGACUUUGAACACCCAGUAAUUAGAAGCGAAGCCGUCUGGGUUCCUGCACUGGAGGUGUGAAUGACCAUGCUGAACGCUGUACUGCACACUUACAGUUUUCUUUCUUCUUUAACUUGGGGAGGACGUUAGAGUAGAUACUGCCCCCCACUCUAUUAUGAACUAAAUUAAGUACAGAGAAGUAAGGUGGUUUUUCCCAGUUAUCUACGGUGCUGAUAACGUCUGCUGGAGCAGCGGAACCGACAGCACUGGUCGAAUCCCAUUUCUACCAUUGCUCAUCCUGUGACUCAGAGUCUUUUCACCGCCCAGGGCCUCCGUUUCCUUAUCUGCAAAGUGGGUUUUGUGACAUGCAUGUUACCACGUGAGAACCGCUCAUCUCCCUGUUGUCAGCGCUCCUUCAGAAGACGCCAACUCGACCGAAUCACCGGGCAGCGGCCACCGCGGGGUUGCUUCGGGCCCUGAGACAGCACCUUCUCAGGCGGCGCCGGCGCGGACGCACGCGCCUUUCACAAGGGGCUCCGGGGGCGGGGAUUUAGCUCAGCGGCGCAGCGCCUGCCUGGCAAGGUCGUCAGUUCGAGUCCCAGUACCGGAAGGAAAAAAAAACAAGCAAACAAUCAGAAGGGGCUCCACAGAAGCAACAGUUCAAAGGGAGAAAAGCAGCGGGCACGCAGCGAGGCGCGGUCACCCCCACGCCGCAGGGGCGCACGGCGCGGGGCGGGCACACGGGCACGCUCUGAGUCCGACUCUCGGAGAGACGGCGACGUUGUAGCUCCACGGGAAGCGAAUUCCAGCCGUGGUUUUGCCUUUCCGGCCUGCGAAAGUGUUUCCAAACGUUUUUCUUUUUUUUUUUUU
rnacentral:lncRNA from 1 species